rnacentral:tRNA from 2 species
GCCCAGCUAGCUCAGUUGGUAGAGCACUUCCAUGGUAAGGAAGGGGUCGCCGGUUCGAGUCCGGCGCUGGGCU